rnacentral:rRNA from 1 species
CCCCGGUAAACGGCGGCCGUAACUAUAACGGUCCUAAGGUAGCGAAAUUCCUUGUCGGGUAAGUUCCGACCUGCACGAAUGGCGUAAUGAUGGCCAGGCUGUCUCCACCCGAGACUCAGUGAAAUUGAACUCGCUGUGAAGAUGCAGUGUACCCGCGGCAAGACGGAAAGACCCCGUGAACCUUUACUAUAGCUUGACACUGAACAUUGAGCCUUGAUGUGUAGGAUAGGUGGGAGGCUUUGAAGUGUGGACGCCAGUCUGCAUGGAGCCGACCUUGAAAUACCACCCUUUAAUGUUUGAUGUUCUAACGUGGACCCGUAAUCCGGGUUGCGGACAGUGUCUGGUGGGUAGUUUGACUGGGGCGGUCUCCUCCUAAAGAGUAACGGAGGAGCACGAAGGUUGGCUAAUCCUGGUCGGACAUCAGGAGGUUAGUGCAAUGGCAUAAGCCAGCUUGACUGCGAGCGUGACGGCGCGAGCAGGUGCGAAAGCAGGUCAUAGUGAUCCGGUGGUUCUGAAUGGAAGGGCCAUCGCUCAACGGAUAAAAGG